rnacentral:rRNA from 1 species
AUUGAACGCUGGCGGCAGGCCUAACACAUGCAAGUCGAACGGUAACAGGAAGAAGCUUGCUUCUUUGCUGACGAGUGGCGGACGGGUGAGUAAUGUCUGGGAAACUGCCUGAUGGAGGGGGAUAACUACUGGAAACGGUAGCUAAUACCGCAUAACGUCGCAAGACCAAAGAGGGGGACCUUCGGGCCUCUUGCCAUCGGAUGUGCCCAGAUGGGAUUAGCUUGUUGGUGGGGUAACGGCUCACCAAGGCGACGAUCCCUAGCUGGUCUGAGAGGAUGACCAGCCACACUGGAACUGAGACACGGUCCAGACUCCUACGGGAGGCAGCAGUGGGGAAUAUUGCACAAUGGGCGCAAGCCUGAUGCAGCCAUGCCGCGUGUAUGAAGAAGGCCUUCGGGUUGUAAAGUACUUUCAGCGGGGAGGAAGGGAGUAAAGUUAAUACCUUUGCUAAUUGACGUUACCCGCAGAAGAAGCACCGGCUAACUCCGUG